CCCAGAAGCAAGAAUCCAUUUGCGCUGACACAAUCAUGCUACGUGGACUCGUUGAGAUUGAGAGGAUGGCUGAAUGCGUUAAACUUCCCAAGAGCAUUGUGGAUAAGUCCUGGGACUUGUAUAAACAGGCACAAGUGACCAAACAAUUAAAAGCGUUUCCAAACGACGCCAUCACAUCAGCGUGUCUAUACAUAGCCGCUCGUCA